AGAAGGAGAAGGAGCAGGAGCAUGAGAAGAAGGAGAAGGAAAAGGAGAAGGAGAUAGAGCAAGAGAAGAGUUUGGCUCCUAUUUUGAUCUCUGAUGAUGAGUAUCGCUUGUAUUCUGGUGUGUGAUGUUGAUGUAUAAAUCUAUGUUUAGGUACAACUGGUGCGAUUAGGUACAACUAUGUUUCUGGGUUUAUGUAUUUUGAUUAGGUAUGAAUCUGUGAUUUUGUACAACUGGUACGAUUAGGUACAACUAUGUUUCUGGGUUUAUGUAUUUUGAUUAGGUAUGAAUCUGAAUCUUAAUAUUUUUAAGUAUUGAAUAUAAAUAUA
rnacentral:lncRNA from 1 species